rnacentral:rRNA from 1 species
CCCUUAGAUGUUCUGGGCCGCACGCGUGCUACACUGAGUGGAUCAGCGGGUCAGGUUGCGCGAAAGCGUUUCCUAAUCUUGAAAUCCGCUCGUGAUGGGGAUUGACGGUUGCAAUUUUCUGUCAUGAACGAGGAAUACCUUGUAAGCGCGGGUCAUCAUCCCGCGCUGAAUACGUCCCUGCCCUUUGUACACACCGCCCGUCGCUCCUACCGAUUGAGUGGUCCGGUGAGGCUUUGGGAUCUGAGCGGAAAGAGCGUUUCGCUCGUUCUGUCCGGAAAACUCAGUCGAACCUUAUCAUUUAGAGGAAGGAGAAGUCGUAACA